UUUCUGCCUCCUGAAUACCUAGGAUUACAGGAUUCAGAGAGGGGUUGGAGAAAUGUCUUCCUAGUUACAAUUGCUGUUAAUGUCUCAGGCCUGAUCUUCUUCCUCAUCUUCGGCCAAGCAGAAGUACAGCACUGGGCUAAAGAGCAGAGAAUCACCCACUCUGAGCAGAGUGAUGUGUGAAAUCUGAUGCUUCCUUCAUUGCUUUGCCUCACACACUUUCCUCAUUUGUACCUGUUUGAAUGACUAGCCCUUUCAUUGAAAUUGGCUUUGUUUCCA